rnacentral:rRNA from 1 species
GCCAGCCCGCUCAGAAACUUAAAUGAAUUCGACGGGGCCCGCACAAGCGGUGGAGUAUGUGGUUUAAUUCGAUGCAACGCGAAGAACCUUACCUGGUCUUGACAUCCCGGAGACCCUUAGGAAACUAGGGGUGGCUUCCAUCUGGAAGAAUCUGGAGACAGGUGCUGCAUGGCUGUCGUCAGCUCGUGUCGUGAGAUGUUGGGUUAAGUCCCGCAACGAGCGCAACCCUUGCCUUUAGUUGCCAGCAGUUCGGCUGGGCACUCUAAAGGGACUGCCGGUGUUAAACCGGAGGAAGGUGGGGGAUGACGUCAAGUCCUCAUGGCCUUUAUGACCAGGGCUACACACGUACUACAAUGGCCGAUACAAAGGGCAGCGACACUGCGAGGUGAAGCCAAUCCCGUAAAAUCGGUCUCAGUCCGGAUUGGAGUCUGCAACUCGACUCCAUGAAGUUGGAAUCGCUAGUAAUCGUGGAUCAGCAUGCCACGGUGAAUACGUUCCCGGGCCUU